GCGCAGCAGUCGCGAAUACUUCACACUGUGCGAAGCACGAUGAGGGAAUCCCAAGUGCUUGCACGUAAGUGUAAGCUGUUUCUCUGUCUAAACGCAGAGAGAGUAAGGGCUGGGUAAGACGGGUGCCAGGCCGCCGCGGUAAUACCUGCAGCUCAAGUGGUGACCGUUAUUAUUGGGCCUAAAACGUCCGUAGCCGGUUUAA
rnacentral:rRNA from 1 species